rnacentral:lncRNA from 1 species
GGGGUGGGGCUCUGCGAGUGGGCGGGGCUUCGUGACGCAAGCCUCUGAUUGGCUGCAGGCCGGUGGAGGCGGAGCCAGAGCUGGAGGCGGCUGUUGCCAUGGGAGCGGAACCGGAAGUGCUGGAUGCGGGAGGAAGCGCUGAUGGCGCUGCUGGAGCCACGCCCACUUCCGGAGACGCGGCAGCUGAUGGCCGCCUCCAACAAGCGCUGGCUGCAGGCGGCCCAGGUGAGGCGUUGACACUCUGUGACGUCACUUCCUGUCCCGGGUGAUGUCACUUCCUGUCACCCAGGUCGCUUCCUGUUCUGUUUGUGACAUCAUUUCCUGUUUGCUUAGGACGCCACUUCCUGCCACACUUUCCUGCUCUUUCAGGUCACUUCUUGUUGCCAUGUGACAUCAUUUCCUGUUUGAUUUGUGAUGUCAUAUCUAGUCCUACUUGUGAUGUCACUUCCUGUCGCAUUGUGAUGUCACAUCUUGUCCACCUUCUGCAGGCACUUCCUGCCACCCUUGUGGCACUUCCUGCUUUUCUCCUUGUGACAUCGCUUCCUAUCCCAUUUCUGACUCCGCUUCCUGUCCUC